AUGCUCACAUCAGCAGCACGUAUGUUAAAAUGGAAUGAUACAGAGCUUAGCGUGGCCCCUCACAAGGACAACACACAAAUUCAUGAUGCCUUCCAUAUUUGA